AGUCCCGCAACGAGCGCAACCCUCGUUCCAUGUUGCCAGCGGGUUAUGCCGGGGACUCAUGGGAGACUGCCGGGGUCAACUCGGAGGAAGGUGGGGACGACGUCAAAUCAUCAUGCCCCUUAUGUCUUGGGCUUCACGCAUGCUACAAUGGCCGGUACAAAGGGUUGCGAUACUGUGAGGUGGAGCUAAUCCCAAAAAGCCGGUCUCAGUUCGGAUUGAGGUCUGCAACUCGACCUCAUGAAGUUGGAGUCGCUAGUAAUCGCAGAUCAGCAACGCUGCGGUGAAUACGUUCCCGGGCCUUGUACACACCGCCCGUCAAGUCACGAAAGUUGGUAACACCCGAAGCCGGUGGCCUAACCCCUUGUGGGAGGGAGCCGUCGAAGGU
rnacentral:rRNA from 1 species